UACGGAGGGUGCUAGCGUUGUUCGGAAUCACUGGGCGUAAAGCGCACGUAGGCGGACUCUUAAGUCAGGGGUGAAAUCCUGGAGCUCAACUCCAGAACUGCCUUUGAUACUGGGAGUCUUGAGUUCGGGAGAGGUGAGUGGAACUGCGAGUGUAGAGGUGAAAUUCGUAGAUAUUCGCAAGAACACCAGUGGCGAAGGCGGCUCACUGGCCCGAUACUGACGCUGAGGUGCGAAAGCGUGGGGAGCAAACAGG
rnacentral:rRNA from 1 species